CAUUUUUCGACCUGAACUCAGACGUGAAU
rnacentral:rRNA from 1 species